rnacentral:rRNA from 1 species
CAGCAGCCGCCGCGGUAAUACGUAGGGUGCAAGCGUUGUCCGGAAUUAUUGGGCGUAAAGAGCUCGUAGGCGGUUUGUCGCGUCUGCUGUGAAAUCCCGAGGCUCAACCUCGGGCUUGCAGUGGGUACGGGCAGACUAGAGUGCGGUAGGGGAGAUUGGAAUUCCUGGUGUAGCGGUGGAAUGCGCAGAUAUCAGGAGGAACACCGAUGGCGAAGGCAGAUCUCUGGGCCGUAACUGACGCUGAGGAGCGAAAGCGUGGGGAGCGAACAGGAUUAGAUACCCCGGUAGUCCCUGUCUCUUAUAA